CUGAAACUUGUCGAGAACUUGACAGUUUUCAUUAAAAUUCACCCUUUAAUUUUUGAAUAGCUUUGCAUGAACUGAAGAUUUAGUUGAUCAAUUUCGAUACGAAGCGUCGAUAGUGUCAAUUUUUCAGCUACACGAAUUCUAACAACCCAACCCUAAAAUCUACUGCACACAAUUUUCUACCAGUAAAAUUUGAACUCGAUUUCAAGUUUCCUAGAACGAGAUUUCAAUUUUUUCAUAUUUUCUCCCAUUCUUCCAUCGUCCUCAACUGAGUUCACACAAUUUCAAAAUUUCACUUGACUUCACUUCCAUUGUCGAGUUGAUUAUUUUUCCUACUCCAGUUCACAAAAUUGUCGACAAGUUUUUUUUUACUUUUAUUGAUUUCAAUUAUUUCAGAUUCCCAUUCUUCCAUCGUCCCCAAAUCGACUCUAAACCCCAAGGAAAGAAUAGAAGCGAAAGUACAGGUUUGCAUGAAAUGAAGAUUUACUUGAUCAAUUUCGAUAUGAAGCUUCGAUAGUGUUAAUAUUUAGCGUCAAUAUUUAGCUACACGGAGAAGAGGAGGCAAAAGGGAAACAAAGAGAAGAAGAAUAAGAAAAAGGAUUAACCAAAAGGAAAUUAUACUGACAGGGAUCAGCAGUAGUGGUGAGACCAGUGCCAUUAAAAUAGCAAUCCAAGUAUGUUUACUAGCAACUCUCUCUUGAAGAUUCAUGACCACUGAUGCAUUGGCGUAUUGCUUAUGUAGUGUUAAGAGUAUAAAAUGACCCUUCUCGAGCUCUAGGAUUGCAAUGAACUCUGAACUACGUGUAACCAAUAUUAUUGCAUUAAGGUACAAUUGGAGUGCAGAAACGAAGAUAUAUUAUUGGAGGAUAAUUGGUGGUCUUUUGGUGCAUGGGAACAUACACUAUGUUGUUUUUGAAAGAAGACUUAUCCACAGGAAAAAAAAAUUUGUUCUUUACUCCUACAUUUUAUGAGUUUUGUAACGGAAAAGCAAGUCGGCAGGUGCAUCGCACAUGCGUCUUUGCUAGUAGUUGAUUCAGAAAUUUUCCAUUUUAGUUCAAAAUAUCUUAUCCUGUCUUUUAGGAAUAGGGCUCAAAUAAUUUGUAUAAGCCUCAAACUAGCCUAGAUUUAAUAUACUGAUUUUCUGAUUUAGUAUUGUGUAUAUACAUAUUAUUCAAUACAUACAAGAAAAUGCUUAAUGAAUGUAGUGGUAA